rnacentral:rRNA from 1 species
UACGUAGGGGGCUAGCGUUGUUCGGAUUUACUGGGCGUAAAGCGCACGUAGGCGGAUCGUUAAGUUAGGGGUGAAAUCCUGGAGCUCAACUCCAGAACUGCCUCUAAUACUGGCGAUCUAGAGUCCGGAAGAGGUGAGUGGAACUCCUAGUGUAGAGGUGGAAUUCGUAGAUAUUAGGAAGAACACCAGUGGCGAAGGCGGCUCACUGGUCCGGUACUGACGCUGAGGUGCGAAAGCGUGGGGAGCAAACAGG